rnacentral:lncRNA from 1 species
UGCCACCACGUGAGAAGUGCCUUUCGCCUCCCGCCAUGAUUCUGAGGCCUCCCUAGCCAUGGGGACCUGUCGUCGCUGCCCUCAGCCUCCAGAUGCAGCCCCCCUGCCACCUUCAGGACCCCUGGCUCUCCCCUGGACUCAGUAGCGAAAGGGUUUAUGUGCUCGGAGGGAGACCUUCAGGAAUCUGUGCAUAGAAUGCCAUAGUGCAGAGGAAACAGCCCCAGAAAAUGGAACAGCUGCUAAGUGAGACUCCUCAGCCAGGCCAGAGAAUGUGCAUUCUGACGGACUGCUUCUCAUUUGCACUGAUCACUGUCUUCUUUCUGAAACCAGCCCAACUUUUCUCCCAGAGAGUAUCAUGGAACUGAACUUUCAAGAUCAUGGCAUCUGGACAUCGAGAAAACAGAACCCUCAUCUGGCCACCUGCUGCUUUUUGACCAAUUCCCAUAUAAACCGCUAACUUCAGUCAGUUGGAGGGAUGGAUUUGAGAUUUGCCUUCUGUCUCUCAGGUGAUGUCACCAGCAAUAAAGCCUUCUUCCCUGGCAAUA